rnacentral:rRNA from 1 species
UAAACUAGGAUUAGAUACCCUAUUAUUAAAAAUGUAAAUUGUUCACCUGAGUAGUAAUAGUUAUGUUCUUGAAAUUUAAAGAAUUUGGCGGUAUUGUAGUCUAUUCAGAGGAACCUGUCCUGUAAUUGAUGGUCCACGUUUAAUUUAACUUGUUAAAUUAGUUUGUAUAUCGUCGUAGUUGGAAUGUUUUAUAAGAAAAUGUAAUGUUCAUGAUUUACUAAAGGUAAAGGAAAUCAGAUCAAGAUACAGCGUAUAGACAAGGAGAGAUGGGUUACAAUAAAUUUAUUUAUAUGGAAAAAUGAGCUAACACUAUUUGGAAAUUGGAUUUGAUAGUAAUAUGGUUGAGUUAAACUUUAUGAUUUAAGCUCUAUAAUAUGUACAUAUCGCCCGUCGCUCCCAUUCCAAAGUGGGAUAAGUCGUAACAAAGUAGGUGUACUGGAAAGUGUACCUAGAACGACAAAUUAGAGCUUGUUAAAAAGCAUUUUAUUUACAUUAAAAAGUUAGUUGUGAAAUUCAACUUAGUUUGAAAGUCAAGGACUUAUUUAUAUAACGGUAGAUAAAGUAUUAUUUUUAUUAGUAUUUUUUUGAAUGUGAGUUUUCAUGUAAUAGUUAAGUAGUACAGUGAUGGAAUGUAUAAUAGAAUAGAUUUAAUUUUUGAUAAGAAGAUUUAGUUUAUUGUACCUUGUGUAUCAGGGUUUAUUAAAAUAAGCUUGCUAUGAGGUUUUCUCGAAUUGGAAAGAGCUAUCACUGUAUAUAUUUAAUUGUAGUAUAAAUUUUUAUAAUAUAGUGUUGGUAGUGAAACGUUAUACGUUUUUUAAGAUAUCUAGUUUCUUAAGAAAUAAAUUCAAUUUAGUUUACUACUUUAAUGAUAUUAAUUUUUUAAUUAUGUUAAGUAGUAAGGAAAUACUAUGAGGGAUAAGCUUCAUGGUAAAUUAUUAUAGUGUUUUGGUUACUGAAAAGUUGGUAGGAUUGGAAUUGUCUAACAAUAGGAUGUUAUAAUAAACUUUUUUUUAAAUAAGAUUUUUAUUUGACUUAAGUUAUUUAUUAAGAUAAUAUUUUGAAUGUAAUUUGGUAUGUAACAAUGAUAGAAUUAGUAUAUAUGUAUGUAUAAUUUUGUUAAAAUUCAAGGUUAAGUUAAGGAAUUCGGCAAAAUAGUUUUCCGCCUGUUUAUUAAAAACAUGUCUUUUUGAUUAUAAUUUAAAGUCUGACCUGCCCAAUGAGUAGUUGAAUGGCCGCGGUAAUUUGACCGUGCAAAGGUAGCAUAAUCAUUAGUUUUUUAAUUGAAAGCUGGAAUGAACGGUUGAACGAGAAAAUGACUGUCUCAAUUUAAUUAUUAUUAGAACUUUAUCUUUGAGUAAAAAAGCUCAAAUUUCUUUAAAAGACGAGAAGACCCUAUAGAAUUUUAUAUUAGUGUAUAUAUUAUAUUAUAUAGUAUCUUUACAUUUAUAUGUACACAUAUAUUUUGUUGGGGCGACAAAAAAAUUAGCAUAACUUUUUUUAAAUUAACACAUAGAUUUAUGGUUGUUUGAUCCAUUUAGUAUGAUUAUAAGAUUAAAUUACCUUAGGGAUAACAGCGUUAUUUUUUUUGAGAGUUCUUAUCGAUAAGAGAGUUUGCGACCUCGAUGUUGGAUUAAAAUUAACUUUUGGUGUAGGGGCUAAAUGGUUAGGUCUGUUCGACCUUUAAAAUUUUACAUGAUCUGAGUUCAAACCGGAGA